AGAGAGAGACAUGCGCGCAUAUCAAUAAGCGGAGGAAAAGAAACUAACUAGGAUUCCCUCAGUAACGGCGAGUGAAGCGGGAAGAGCUCAAAUUUGAAAUCUUCAAGGCUUCUACCUUGACGAAUUGUAGUUUAAAGAAGUGUUUUCUGUUGGAGUUUUGGUAAAAGUUCUUUGGAAUAGGACAUCAUAGAGGGUGAGAAUCCCGUAUUUGACCAUUACUUUCCAACUUUGUGAUACACUUUCAAAGAGUCGGAUUGUUUGGAAAUGCAGUCCAAAAUGGGUGGUAAAUUUCAUCUAAAGCUAAAUAUUGGCGAGAGACCGAUAGCGAACAAGUACCGUGAGGGAAAGAUGAAAAGAACUUUGAAAAGAGAGUUAAACAGUACGUGAAAUUGUCAAAAGGGAAGCGUUUGACACCAGUGUUGUUUUCUCGAAAAUCAAUUAAAAAAGGCAGGAUUUUGUGUUGUAUUGACUUUAUCAGCUUUCUGCACUCUUUUCUUGUCUUUUUUAAUGCACUUUUCGUUUAAACAAGUCAACAUCAAUUUCUUUUGUUGUAAAAGGGUCAUUGGAAGGUGGCUUUCUUUUCGGAGAAAGUGUUUAUAGCCUUUGGCCUCUGCAAUCGGAGAGAUUGAGGUCUGCAGCGUAGAUCCUUCGGGGUUAGAUACAUUUGUGCUAAGUUAUAGCCUUUCAUAGACAACUUGUUGACUAUGAUCAGUCAUGUAGCUUACUCGCUUAUGCUAUUUUACCUACGCUUAGGAUGUUGAUGUGAUACUGCGAGCA
rnacentral:rRNA from 1 species